rnacentral:rRNA from 1 species
UGCGUAGGUGGUUCUGCGUGUCGGAUGUGAAAUCUCACUGCUCAACGGUGGAACGGCAUUCGAAACUGCAGGGCUGGAGUACAGGAGAGGAGAGCGGAAUUCCUGGUGUAGCGGUGAAAUGCGUAGAUAUCAGGAGGAACACCGGUGGCGAAGGCGGCUCUCUGGACUGAUACUGACACUGAGGCACGAAAGCUGGGGGAGCAAACA